UUGGAGAAGGUUAGCUCAGCCAACUGUUGGAUAUGUUGGUUCAAGCCUGUAGUCGUGCCUGGUAGGUAAAUCCGCCGGGCUUAGAUGAGGGGUGAUAACGAGGCGGCUUGCCGCCGAAGUGAGUGAUACCCUGCUUCCAGGAAAAGCCACUAAGCUUCAGCUACACACGACCGUACCGCAAACCGACACUGGUGCGCGAGAUGAGUAUUCUAAGGCGCUUGAGAGAACUCAGGAGAAGGAACUCGGCAAAUUGACACCGUAACUUCGGAAGAAGGUGUGCCUUUAGUAGGUGAAGUCCCUGCGGAUGGAGCCCAAUGAGGUUGCAAAAAAUCGGUGGCUGCGACUGUUUAAUAAAAACACAGCACUCUGCAAACACGAAAGUGGACGUAUAGGGUGUGACGCCUGCCCGGUGCUGGAAGAUUAAAUGAUGGGGUGCAAGCUCUUGAUUGAAGUCCCAGUAAACGGCGGCCGUAACAAUAACGGUCCUAAGGUAGCGAAAUUCCUUGUCGGGUAAGUUCCGACCUGCACGAAUGGCGUAACGAUGGCCACACUGUCUCCUCCUGAGACUCAGCGAAGUUGAAAUGUUUGUGAUGAUGCAAUCUCCCCGCGGAAAGACGGAAAGACCCCAUGAACCUUUACUGUAGCUUUGUAUUGGACUUUGAACGGAUCUGUGUAGGAUAGGUGGGAGGCUUUGAAGCAGGGUCGCUAGAUCUUGUGGAGCCAACGUUGAAAUACCACCCUGGUGCGUUUGAGGUUCUAACCUAGGUCCAUUAUCUGGAUCGGGGACAGUGCAUGGUAGGCAGUUUGACUGGGGCGGUCUCCUCCCAAAGCGUAACGGAGGAGUUCGAAGGUACGCUAGUUACGGUCGGACAUCGUGACGAUAGUGCAAUGGCAUAAGCGUGCUUAACUGCGAGACUGACAAGUCGAGCAGAUGCGAAAGCAGGACAUAGUGAUCCGGUGGUUCUGUAUGGAAGGGCCAUCGCUCAACGGAUAAAAGGUACUCUGGGGAUAACAGGCUGAUACCGCCCAAGAGUUCAUAUCGACGGCGGUGUUUGGCACCUCGAUGUCGGCUCAUCUCAUCCUGGGGCUGUAGCCGGUCCCAAGGGUAUGGCUGUUCGCCAUUUAAAGAGGUACGUGAGCUGGGUUUAAAACGUCGUGAGACAGUUUGGUCCCUAUCUUCCGUGGGCGCUGCAGAUUUGAGAAAGCCUGCUCCUAGUACGAGAGGACCGGAGUGGACGCACCUCUGGUGUAUCGGUUGUCACGCCAGUGGCAUUGCCGAGUAGCUAAGUGCGGAAGAGAUAACCGCUGAAAGCAUCUAAGCGGGAAACUCGUUUCAAGAUGAGAUCUGCCGGGGCCUUGAGCCCCCUAAAGAGUCGUUCAAGACCAGGACGUUGAUAGGUCAGGUGUGGAAGCGCAGUAAUGCGUUAAGCUAACUGAUACUAAUUGCUCGUGCGGCUUGACCU
rnacentral:rRNA from 1 species